rnacentral:ncRNA from 15 species
UACCUGGUUGAUCCUGCCAGUAGUCAUAUGCUUGUUUUAAAGGUUAAGCCAUGCAUGUCUUAGUACAGGCGUCCUGACAGCCGAAACCGCGGAUGGCUCAAUAUACCAGUAGCAAUCCGCAAGAUUUUUAUCCCUAGUGGAUACCCGUGGCAAACCUAGAGCUAAUACGCUUUCAAGAUUCGCUACGAUCCCACUAUUUUUAAAGCCUUAUGGUAUAGUGAUCUAGCGAACAGCAAUUAUUAGAAGCCUCAGCUUUAGCUGCGGGUGAGUCUGAGUAUCGAUGCUACGCGCUAUGGUCCAUAAGUACCAGCGCUAAUCUUUGCGAGCUUCUGACCUAUCAGCCAGAUGGUAAGGUAAGUGCCUACUAUGGCUACGACGGGUAACGGGGAAUCUGGGUUCGAUUCCGGAGAGGGAGCCUGAUAAACGGCUACCACAUCCAAGGAAGGCAGCAGGCGCGGAAUUUAACCUAGUACUAGCUCUGUGAGUUAGUAACGAAAAAUCUUGAUGUGGGGUUUCCUAAACCGAGCCUCACAAUCGAAAUGAGUUUAUCAUAAAAACCCUAUUUGCGAUAAACUAUCGGAGGGCAAGCCUGGUGCCAGCAGCCGCGGUAAUUCCAGCUCCAUUAGCAUAAUCCAAUGUUGCUGCGGUUAAAGUGUUCGUAGUUGGCUUUGAACGAGAGUUUCCACCCGCUUCUUUAAAUAUAUAUUUAACCCGCGCUUUUUUUUUAAGUUCGGUUGUUGUCGUUCUUUAUUAAAAUAAAAAAAUGCGCGGAAAAUAUUGAAAAAAAUUACGCGGUGCGGAAACGAAAACCGGCGUACUUAGUUCCUCGUCGAGCUUGGUACCCGGUAAAAAUGCUCGGUACUCGGUAUCCUCUUCAUUGAGUGUACCUUGGAACCGGCACUAUUCACUUUAAUAAAAUUGGAGUGUUUAUAACAGGUCUGAGGAAGACAAUUCACGCGCUUUACUAAAAACGUCUAGCACGAUGAAAUAAGACUCGGGUUCUAAAAAUUUUGGCUUUUAAUAUUUGGAACUCCGAAGUAAUGAUUAACGAGAACUGCCGGGGAUAUUAGUAUUGCAGCGCGAGAGGUGAAAUUCUGUGACCGUUGCAAGACUGCCUACAGCGAAAGCAUUUAUCAAGAAUGUUUUUAUUAAUCACGAUCCAAAGUUAGAGGAUCGAAGGCGAUCAGAUACCGCCCUAGUUUUAACCAUAAACUAUGCUAACUAGCAAUCCGCUUUUGUUACCGUUUGCAGAGCAAACGGGAUCCCCCGGGAAACCAAAGUUUCUCAGUCCCGGGGGGAGUAUAGUUGCAAAGCUGAAACCUUAAAGGCAAUUGACGGAAGGGCANCCACCAGGAGUGGAGCCUGCGGCUCAAUUUGACUCAACACGGGAAAACUCACCAGGUCCGGACCCCGUAAGGAUUGACAGGUUGAAGGAUCUUUCUCGAUUUGGUGCAAGGUGGUGCAUGGCCGUUCUUAGUUGGUGGAGUGAUUUGUCUGGUUGAUUCCGAUAACGAACGAGAUUCUUGCCUCCUUAUUUGUGGUCAGAUCGAGUCCUAAGGCGCGGUAUAAAAUAUUUUUGCGCGACUCUUUUUUUUAUACGGUUCGUUCUUUUAAAGUUUUAUAGUUNCCUAAAUUAUAUUAAAAAAGCUAUAAUCUUUCGAGACGACCGUUUAACUUGUCGCAAAAAAAAAUACAAAGACCAAGCCUGAGGCCGUCUGACGAAAUACACCAUAUUCAAUUGGCGGUAUUGGCGGUGUCCAGCCGUAAUAAAAAGAGCAAUAACAGGUCUGUGAUGCCCUUAGAUGUCUGGGCUGCACGCGCGCCACAUUGAUGCGUGCAGCAUGCUUUCCCGUUCAGAAUUGAAGCGGCAAUCAUUUCAAACCGCUUCGCGGUUGGGAUUGCGGAUUGUAAGUUUUCCCCGUAAACGAGGAAUGCCUUGUACGCGCGGGUCGUAAAGCUCGAGCUGAAUACGUCCCUGCCCUUUGUACACACCGCCCGCUCGCUACUUCCGAUUGAGUGGCUAAGUGAGGUAAUUGAACCGUUUUUUUAAAAAGUUUUUAUAUCUUGUAACAGAAAACGGAAAGAUUCCCCAGCCUAGUCACUUAGAGGAAGUAAAGUCGUAACAAGGUUUUCGUAGGUGAACCUGCGGAAGGAUCAUUA